rnacentral:rRNA from 1 species
UGGUAAUGCCGGAUGCUCCAUCACACCGCAUGGUGUGUUGGGAAAGCCUUUGCGGCAUGGGAUGGGGUCGCGUCCUAUCAGCUUGAUGGCGGGGUAACGGCCCACCAUGGCUUCGACGGGUAGCCGGCCUGAGAGGGCGACCGGCCACAUUGGGACUGAGAUACGGCCCAGACUCCUACGGGAGGCAGCAGUGGGGAAUAUUGCACAAUGGGCGCAAGCCUGAUGCAGCGACGCCGCGUGAGGGAUGGAGGCCUUCGGGUUGUAAACCUCUUUUAUCAGGGAGCAAGGCUUCGGUUGAGUGUACCUGUUGAAUAAGCACCGGCUAACUACGUGCCAGCAGCCGCGGUAAUACGUAGGGUGCAAGCGUUAUCCGGAAUUAUUGGGCGUAAAGGGCUCGUAGGCGGUUCGUCGCGUCCGGUGUGAAAGUCCAUCGCUUAACGGUGGAUCCGCGCCGGGUACGGGCGGGCUUGAGUGCGGUAGGGGAGACUGGAAUUCCCGGUGUAACGGUGGAAUGUGUAGAUAU